AAAAAAAACAAACUCUGGUUUCCGUGUCCAACUUUUGACUGUCCGUCUUAUUUGAAAAAAUUAUAAAAAAAAUUAAAAAGACAAGUCACGCAUAAAAUAUUAAUCAUGUUUUAUCAUCUAACAACAAUGAAAAUAUAAAUUAUAAAAAAAUUUUAUAUAAGACAGACAGUCAAAGUUGGACACAGAAACCUAGGGGUUUGACUUUUU
rfam:Oryza barthii chromosome 1, whole genome shotgun sequence.